rnacentral:rRNA from 1 species
AUUGAACGCUGGCGGCAGGCCUAACACAUGCAAGUCGAGCGGUAGCACAGAGAGCUUGCUCUCGGGUGACGAGCGGCGGACGGGUGAGUAAUGUCUGGGAAACUGCCUGAUGGAGGGGGAUAACUACUGGAAACGGUAGCUAAUACCGCAUAAUGUCGCAAGACCAAAGUGGGGGACCUUCGGGCCUCAUGCCAUCAGAUGUGCCCAGAUGGGAUUAGCUAGUAGGUGGGGUAACGGCUCACCUAGGCGACGAUCCCUAGCUGGUCUGAGAGGAUGACCAGCCACACUGGAACUGAGACACGGUCCAGACUCCUACGGGAGGCAGCAGUGGGGAAUAUUGCACAAUGGGCGCAAGCCUGAUGCAGCCAUGCCGCGUGUGAAGAAGGCCUUCGGGUUGUAAAGCACUUUCAGCGGGGAGGAAGGCGUUAAGGUUAAUAACCUUGGCGAUUGACGUUACCCGCAGAAGAAGCACCGGCUAACUCCGUGCCAGCCGCCGCCGUAA